rnacentral:rRNA from 1 species
AGAUUAAAGCAUAGAAGUGCUGGAGUCGAAGCGAAAGCGAGUCUUAAAAGGGCGAUUUAGUUAGAUGUGGUAGACCCGAAGCCGAGUGAUCUAUUUAUGGCCAGGCUGAAGCUUGGGUAAAACCAAGUGGAGGGCCGAACUCUAGUCUGUUUAAAAAGGCAGGGAUGAGCUGUGAAUAGGAGUGAAAGGCUAAACAAACUCGGAGAUAGCUGGUUCUCCCCGAAAUGGAUUUAAGUUCAGCCUUAUUUUAGUUUAAUAGAGGUAGAGCACUAAUUGAGCUAGGGCCUGUCAAAGGGUACCAAACUCAGUUAAACUCCGAAUGCUAUUAAAUGAUGAAUAGGAGUGAGACUAUGGGCGAUAAGGUUCAUAGUCGAGAGGGAAACAACCCAGACCAACAGCUAAGGUCUCAAAAAUGUGUUAAGUGGAAAAGGAGGUUUAGGUACGUAAACAGCCAGGAGGUUGGCUUAGAAGCAGCCAUACCUUUAAAGAGUGCGUAAUAGCUCACUGGUCGAGUACUUAAGCGCCGAUAAUGUAACGGGGCUAAACACAUUACCGAAGCUUUGGAUCUUAACGAAAGUUAAGAUGGUAGGGGAGCGUUCUGUAAGCCAGAGAAGUUAAACUGGAAAGUUUGAUGGAGGUAUCAGAAGUGAGAAUGCAGGUAUGAGUAACGAAAAAAUGGGUGAGAUUCCCAUUCGCCGAAAACCUAAGGUUUCCUGGGUAAAGGUCGUCUUCCCAGGGUUAGUCGGCCCCUAAGGCAAAGCUGAAAAGUGUAGUCGAUGGGAAACGGGUUAAUAUUCCCGUACCUCUUAUAGUUUCGAUGGAGUGACGCAUGAGGUUAACUACUGCUAGGCGAUGGUUGUCCUAGUUUAAGCAUUAAGGCGAUGAUCUUAAUAGGAAAAUCCGUUAAGAGAGCUAAGAUGUGAUGAUGAGUGCUAUUUAGGUAGCAUGAAAUGUAGGUAGUCAAGGUGCCAAGAAAUAGCUUCUAAGGUUAGGCUAUAAGGGACCGUACCGCAAACCGACACAGGUAGGUGGGAUGAAAAUUCUAAGGCGCGCGAGAGAAUCCACGUUAAGGAACUCUGCAAAAUACGUACGUAACUUCGGGAUAAGUACGACCUAAGCAAUUAGGUAGCAUAAAAAUGGUCCAAACGACUGUUUACCAAAAACACAGGUCUCUGCAAAUCUGUAAAGAGAAGUAUAGGGACUGACACCUGCCCGGUGCUGGAAGGUUAAGAGGAGAUGUUAGUUUAUACGAAGCAUUGAAUUUAAGCCCCAGUAAACGGCGGCCGUAACUAUAACGGUCCUAAGGUAGCGAAAUUCCUUGUCGGGUAAGUUCCGACCCGCACGAAUGGUGUAACGAUUUGGACGCUGUCUCAACGUGGAGCUCGGUGAAAUUGAAGUAUCGGUGAAGAUGCCGAUUACUUGUGGUUAGACGGAAAGACCCCGUGAACCUUUACUAUAGCUUGGUAUUGAGAUUUGAUUAAAUAUGUGUAGGAUAGGUGGGAGACUUUGAAGCUAUCUCGUUAGGGGUAGUGGAGUCAAUCUUGAAAUACCACCCUUGUUUAAUUAGGUUUCUAACUUAUAGAAAUAUGAGGAGAGUGCCAGGUGGGUAGUUUGACUGGGGCGGUCGCCUCCUAAAGAGUAACGGAGGUGCGCAAAGGUUACCUUAGAGUGGUUGGAAAUCACUCUGUAAGUGUAAAGGCAUAAGGUAGCUUAACUGUAAGACUGACAAGUCGAACAGAUACGAAAGUAGGUCUUAGUGAUCUGGCGGUGGCAAGUGGAAGCGCCGUCACUUAACGAAUAAAAGGUACUCCGGGGAUAACAGGCUUAUCCUUCCCAAGAGUUCACAUCGACGGAAGGGUUUGGCACCUCGAUGUCGGCUCAUCGCAUCCUAGGGCUGGAGCAGGUCCUAAGGGUAUGGCUGUUCGCCAUUUAAAGCGGUACGCGAGCUGGGUUCAGAACGUCGUGAGACAGUUUGGUCCCUAUCUGCCACAAGCGUUGGAUAUUUGAGAGGAGCUAUCUUUAGUACGAGAGGACCGAGAUGGACGAACCUCUAGUGUGCCAGUUAUCCUGCCAAGGGUAAGUGCUGGGUAGCUACGUUCGGAAAGGAUAACCGCUGAAAGCAUCUAAGUGGGAAGCCUUCCUCAAGAUGAGAUAUCCUUUAAGGGUCCUGGAAGAAUACCAGGUCGAUAGGUUAGAAGUGUAAGUAUAGUAAUAUAUUAAGCUGACUAAUACUAAUUACCCGUAUCUUUGGCCAU